UACGUAGGGGAGUAGCGUUAUCCGGAAUUACUGGGCGUAAAGGGUGCGUAGGUGGUUUCUUAAGUCAGAGGUGAAAGGCUACGGCUCAACCGUAGUAAGCCUUUGAAACUGGGAAACUUGAGUGCAGGAGAGGAGAGUGGAAUUCCUAGUGUAGCGGUGAAAUGCGUAGAUAUUAGGAGGAACACCAGUUGCGAAGGCGGCUCUCUGGACUGUAACUGACACUGAGGCACGAAAGCGUGGGGAGCAAACAGGAUUAGAUACCCCGGUAGUCCCUGAGCGGGCU
rnacentral:rRNA from 1 species